rnacentral:rRNA from 1 species
AAUCCUUUAACGAGGAUCAAUUGGAGGGCAAGUCUGGUGCCAGCAGCCGCGGUAAUUCCAGCUCCAAUAGCGUAUACUAAAGCUGCUGCGGUUAAAAAGCUCGUAGUUGGAUCUCAGUUCCAGACGAGUAGUGCAUCUACCCGAUGCGACGGCUCGGACUGAACAUCAUGCCGGUUCUUUCUUGGUGCGGUUCUGUUGCCUCGAGAUUGCGCCCGGUGGGCUUGAAAAAAUUAAGUGGCUCAACGCAGGCGAUCGCCUGAUAAACUGCUAUGGAUGUAGAAAAGACUCGGUGUUCUUCUUGUUGUUUUUGAAAUACGAGGUGAAGGCAGGGACCGACCGGGGGGGCAUUCGUAUUGGCGGCGCUAGAGGUGGAAAUCUUGACCGUGCAAACGAACUAUAGCGAAAGCAUUUGCCAAGAAUGUUUUCAUUGAUCAAGAACGAAAGUCAGAGGUUCGAAGGCGAUCAGAUACCGCCCUAGUUCUGUCCAUAAACGAUGCCAACCAGCGAUCCGCCUGUGUUACGUGGUGACUGCGGCGGGCAGCUUCCGGGAAACCAAAGUAUUUGGGUUCCGGGGGAAGUAUGGUUGCAAAGCUGAAACUUAAAGGAAUUGACGGAAGGGCACCACCAGGAGUGGAGCCUGCGGCUUAAUUUGACUCAACACGGGAAAACUUACCCGGCCCGGACACUGGGAGGAUUGACAGAUUGAGAGCUCUUUCUUGAUUCGGUGGAUGGUGGUGCAUGGCCGUUCUUAGUUGGUGGAGCGAUUUGUCUGGUUAAUUCCGAUAACGAACGAGACUCUAGCCUAUUAAAUAGGUGCGGGGUUCCCAGCACCUUACAACCUUCUUAGAGGGACAAGCGGCUCCUAGCCGCACGAAACAGAGCAAUAACAGGUCUGUGAUGCCCUUAGAUGUCCGGGGCCGCACGCGCGCUAGACUGAAGGAAGCAGCGUGUCUUUAUCCCUGUCUGAAAAGACUGGGUAACCCGUGGAACUUCUUUCGUGAUUGGGAUAGGGGCUUGCAAUUGUUCCCCUUGAACGAGGAAUUCCCAGUAAGCGCGAGUCAUAAGCUCGCGUUGAUUACGUCCCUGCCCUUUGUACACACCGCCCGUCGCUACUACCGAUUGAAUGAUUUAGUGAGGUCUUCGGACCGAUGUCCGGCGCGGCCUUUCGGUUGCGCCGGUCUGUUGGAAAGAUGACCAAACUUGAUCAUUUAGAGGAAGUAAAAGUCGUAACAAGGUUUCCGUAGGUGAACCUGCGGAAG